AUAGCUGGUUACUUGAUAAAAGAAUUUUAGUUCUACCUAAAGCCCAAAUAAAGUUUUGUAAACUAACAUUUAUGCUUUAGAGUUAUUCAAAUAAGGUACAGCCUAUUUGAAUAAGGAGACAACCUAAACUAAUGGGUAAGACAUCUACAGUGUAUUAAAGUGGGCCUAAAAGCAGCCACCUUCAAUAAUAGCGUCAAAGCUUACCUACACAAGUACAUUCAAUUUUUUAUCCUAAUCCAAACCCUUUAUUUUCAUCAAGUAAUUCUAUAUAUCUAUAGAACAUAAAAUGUUAAAACUAGUAACAAGAAGUAAACCCUUCUCUUAAAUGCAAGUGUAGGCCAGGAAGGAUAAACCACUGUCAAUUAACACCAAUGAUUUUCAAUUAACAACACCACAAGAGAACCCUAAUAAAACAAAUGUUAAACUAACACAAGAGCAUUUCAAGAAAGAUUAAAAGAAAAAGAAGGAACUCGGCAAACACCAACCCCGCCUGUUUACCAAAAACAUCGCCUCUUGACAAAUAUAAGAGGUCCAGCCUGCCCAGUGACCUAGUUCAACGGCCGCGGUAUCCUAACCGUGCGAAGGUAGCGUAAUCACUUGUUCUUUAAAUGGGGACUAGUAUGAAUGGCAUCACGAGGGUUACACUGUCUCCUUUUUUUGAUCAGUGAAACUAAUCUUCCCGUGAAGAAGCGGGAAUAUCUUUAUAAGACGAGAAGACCCUAUGGAGCUUUAAACAAAUUAACACCUGCUGCCCGAGAUUAUUCUUUCAGAAAUAUAAAACAUAGCAUAGCAUGAUGAUUAAUAGUUUUUGAUUGGGGUGAUCACGGAGUAAAAAACAACCUCCAUGCCGAAAGGGAUUUUACCCUGAGCAAAAAACCACAAUUUUAAGCACUAAAAAAUUAACGUUUAUUGACCCAGUAUAAUGAUCAACGAACCAAGUUACCCUAGGGAUAACAGCGCAAUCCACUUCAAGAGCUCCUAUCGACAAGUGGGUUUACGACCUCGAUGUUGGAUCAGGGUAUCCCAGUGGUGCAGCCGCUACUAACGGUUCGUUUGUUCAACGAUUAAAACCCU
rnacentral:rRNA from 1 species